UUCCUACGGGACGCAGCAGUGGGGAAUAUUGCACAAUGGGCGCAAGCCUGAUGAAGCGACGCCGCGUGCGGGAUGGAGGCCUUCGGGUUGUAAACCGCUUUUGUUCAAGGGCAAGGCACGGUCUUUAGCCGUGUUGAGUGGAUUGUUCGAAUAAGCACCGGCUAACUACGUGCCAGCAGCCGCGGUAAUACGUAGGGUGCAAGCGUUAUCCGGCUUUAUUGGGCGUCAUGGGCUCGUAGGCGGUUCGUCGCGUCCGGUUUUAAGGUCUCUCGCUUAACGGUGGAU
rnacentral:rRNA from 1 species